rnacentral:tRNA from 1 species
AUCAAUCUGGCAGAAUUUGAUGUGUCGGAUUUAGGAUUCGAUUAUGGUGUGAUCCGUUUGGUG